rnacentral:rRNA from 1 species
GACGAACGCUGGCGGCGUGCCUAAUACAUGCAAGUCGAACGCAGUGGGGACGGGUGAGUAACACGUGGGUAACCUCCCAUCAGAGGGGAUAACACUUGGAAACAGGUGCUAACCCGAUAUGGUGGGUUGGACCGGCGGUGCAUUAGCUAGUGGGUGAGGUAACGGCUCACCAAGGCCACGAUGCAUAGCCGACCGGAGAGGGUGAUCGGCCACACUGGGACGGAGACACGGCCCAGACUCCUACGUGAGGCAGCAGUAGGGAAUCUUCGGCAAUGGACGAAAGUCUGACCGAGCAACGCCGCGUGAGUGAAGAAGGUUUUCGGAUCGUAAAACUCUGUUGUUAGAGAAGCGGUAUCUAACCAGAAAGCCACGGCUAACUACGUGCCAGCAGCCGCGGUAAUUC